rnacentral:rRNA from 1 species
GGUAAAGCUGGGAACUCUGGGGAGACUGCCGGUGAUAAACCGAGGAAGGCGGGGAUGACGUCAAGUCCUCAUGGCCCUUACAUCCCGGGCUACACACGUGCUACAAUGGCAGGUACAGAGGGCUGCGAAGCCGCGAGGUGGAGCGAAUCCCAGAAAACCUGUCUCAGUCCGGAUUGAAGUCUGCAACUCGACUUCAUGAAGGCGGAAUCGCUAGUAACCGCGAAUCAGCAGGUCGCGGUGAAUACGUUCCCGGGCCUU